AGUAGUCACGUAGUUUGAUCCUGGCUCAGAACGAACGCUGGCGGCAUGCCUAACACAUGCAAGUCGAACGAGAUCUUCGGAUCUAGUGGCGCACGGGUGCGUAACGCGUGGGAAUCUGCCCUUUGCUUCGGAAUAACAGUUAGAAAUGACUGCUAAUACCGGAUGAUGUCUUCGGACCAAAGAUUUAUCGGCAAAGGAUGAGCCCGCGUAGGAUUAGGUAGUUGUGGGGUAAAGGCCUACCAAGCCGACGAUCCUUAGCUGGUCUGAGAGGAUGAUCAGCCACACUGGGACUGAGACACGGCCCAGACUCCUACGGGAGGCAGCAGUGGGGAAUAUUGGACAAUGGGCGAAAGCCUGAUCCAGCAAUGCCGCGUGAGUGAUGAAGGCCUUCGGGUCGUAAAGCUCUUUUACCAGGGAUGAUAAUGACAGUACCUGGAGAAUAAGCUCCGGCUAACUCCGUG
rnacentral:rRNA from 1 species